GUGUCUAAGGGAAUUGCUUGUGUGACUUGUGGUUAGCCUGUGGGGUGAGACCAAAGUCCUCUCUGUCUGCCUGGUUUGGUGUGCCUUCGAAGUGGAGAAUCCCAAACUGCCCUGCUUUGAGCAAUCUGUCCUGAGUUGAUACUCUCAGAAGUGUCCCACCAAAGACAGCAUCGUUACAACGUAUUAGUAAGAAAAAGGAGCAUAUUGGUCAACGGUGCGGGAUCCAUUCCUGCUGCCCGAAGAGGCAGAGCGCGCAGUACACCAACCAUUGAAAGAUGGCGCCAAAUGUGGACGGAAGCACAGGGAUUGGUGGGAUGCGAAGCAAGGCAUCACGGGGCAUUGGGACAGGUCCUGGGAUGCCCCGCGACUCCCUCCACCUUCCCACAACUCUUAGUGGCAGAAGAGGAAGAGAUGCUCAGUGGGAUAGCUGCUUAGAGUGCACUGCUCCAAAUACCGCAGCAAGUGCCGCAAGUGUGAACACACUAUUGUGCAGGCAGCUGACAGUGUGAACACACAACAGCGGUUUCCCUUCAGCGCUCUCUGAGCAGCGCUGUAACUCCUGGUGCUGUAACUCUGCCAGUGUAGACAGCCUCAGAGAGACUGACUGCCAGGAUCCCAGGACUGAUCCCCUCCGAAUGAAGCACAACGUCGACAGGCUAUGCAGCCUUCACUCGUCUCCUGUGCCUGUAAACGCUGCUAGCCCAACGGGCUGGACCAUCUACGCCAGUACCUGGUUCCUCAACUGCAGCUACAGUUCCUGCUCCAGGGGAAUCCAAAGGCCGAGAGGUGCCGAGAUCCAACCCCUUAUAACCUUAGAAACGUUUUGUUCCUUUUUCUAUUUUUUUUUCUUUCUUUUUAUGAAGUUGGAGACUUCUCAGCCUUUCUAUGGGUGGGGGUGAGCGUGUGAACACCUCUGAAAUCUACACAGGGAAGAUGUUAGGAAGAAUAGUUCCCCAAAUCUUAAUAGCCUUAAAAUUCUGCUCCAUGAAAUGACUGAAUGCGUGCGCCUCACCUAUGGAAGCAUUGCAAGGAGUUGAGCUGUCAGAUAUAUGUUGUUCAGUGAGAAUUGUUUGAAUGAACUUCUUUUACUAAUGUCUCUAGAAGGUCUGUCUGUGUUUUGGGGUGAGAGGGCGAUGAGAAGUAUUAGCUACACAAGAGUGAAAUCUAAGAAGAAAACUGUAAUUAGCUUUGAGGCUGUAGGCUAAAUGUAAGCAAUAAUUUGGUUUCGGUGUUGAAAUAUUCAGCUGGCUAGAUCUGGGUUGCACUGCCUGGGUAGAAGUCUCUCGUUGGGGUUUUGACAUCACUAAAUAUGCACCUGCCUCCUUGGGUUGCUCUUUUAGGAUUUGUAAGGGUUGAUUUUCUGCUGUAUUAAUCUGAUGGUUUGGCUACAUUGAUGACUUGAUACCAGUGCAAUAUCCUUGUUAACUCAUUGAUUUACUGAUUUGACCUGAACUUUAUAGCUGAGUGGUGUUUAUAGUCAUUUAGCCUUAGUGAUGUGUGCCCUUGGAUUUAUUUGUUCAUGUUAAUAAAACAUGUAUCUGGGA